GGCCUGUGCAGCCACCAGCACGAUCUGGCUUUAGAACGUUCCCACUACCCCAGAAAGGUCUCUCGUGCCCCUGAGCAAUCAAUUUCCAAUCCCUUCCCCAGACCCUGACACAGGAAUCCACUUGCUAUCUCUAGAGACUUCUCUAUUCUGAACAUUUCACGGUUUGCUCAAGGCCACUCACCGGCUUCCCACCUCCAGGCCUACCUUCCCAGGUCCUCCCUCAGGCUUCCUGGGAUCAGCUGCAGCAAACAACAUGUCCCCGAAUCCCUGUCUGCUUUCAGAGACCCAAACUCUGCCAAGGUUCCACACUGGCUGUGACUGGAGCAGAUGUCUCCACCUUCUGGAUACGAGUGUCCUCAUCUGUAAGAUUUUCCUUGUGCUAAAUCAUGGAAAUCUUUCAAGAAAAUCCGGGCUUUAAACACUUUCAAUAGAACAAAAGUCGUCCUAAA
rnacentral:lncRNA from 1 species